AUCACUUCUCGGCCUUUUGGCUAAGAUCAAGUGCAAUUUC
rnacentral:snRNA from 1 species